rnacentral:rRNA from 1 species
UACGGGGGGUGCAAGCGUUGUUCGGAUUUACUGGGCGUAAAGGGCGCGUAGGCGGCCUCUGCAAGUCGACUGUGAAAUCUCCGGGCUUAACCCGGAACGGUCAGCCGAUACUGCAGGGCUAGAGUGCAGAAGGGGCAACCGGAAUUCUCGGUGUAGCGGUGAAAUGCGUAGAUAUCGAGAGGAACACCUGCGGCGAAGGCGGGUUGCUGGGCUGACACUGACGCUGAGGCGCGAAAGCUAGGGGAGCGAACGGG